AGGAUGUGGUUCAGUGGUAGAGCAGUUACCUUGCAUUUGCAAGGCCCUGGGUUCAAUCCCCAGCACUG
rnacentral:tRNA from 1 species